rnacentral:rRNA from 1 species
AUUGAACGCUGGCGGUAUGCCUUACACAUGCAAGUCGAACGGUAGAGGGGCAACCCUUGAGAGUGGCGAACGGGUGAGUAAUACAUCGGAACGUGCCCAGUCGUGGGGGAUAACGUAGCGAAAGCUACGCUAAUACCGCAUACGACCUGAGGGUGAAAGCGGGGGAUCGCAAGACCUCGCGCGAUUGGAGCGGCCGAUGGCAGAUUAGGUAGUUGGUGGGGUAAAGGCCUACCAAGCCUGCGAUCUGUAGCUGGUCUGAGAGGACGACCAGCCACCCUGGGACUGAGACACGGCCCAGACUCCUACGGGAGGCAGCAGUGGGGAAUUUUGGACAAUGGGCGAAAGCCUGAUCCAGCCAUACCGCGUGCGGGAAGAAGGCCUUCGGGUUGUAAACCGCUUUUGUCAGGGAAGAAAUCUUCUGGGUUAAUACCUCGGGAGGAUGACGGUACCUGAAGAAUAAGCACCGGCUAACUACGUGCCAGCAGCCGCCGUAAAAC